AGUCACAGCCAUAUCACCCUGCAGCCCAAGACCGGUUACUCACCGAAGCUAAGCAGAACUGAGUCUGGUCAGAAUCUGGAUGGGGAGACCACAUGGAAAAACUAGGUUGCUGUUAGAA
ensembl:rRNA 5S_rRNA 5S ribosomal RNA